rnacentral:misc_RNA from 1 species
GAUGAAGAACGUAGCGAAAUGCGAUACUUGGUGUGAAUUGCAGAAUCCCGCGAAUCAUCGAGUCUUUGAACGCAAGUUGCGCCCGAAGCCAUUUGGUCGAGGGCACGUCUGCCUGGGUGUCACGCAUCGUUGCCCCCAACCCCAUUGCUUCUCCAAGAGACGAGGGCGGUUUGUGGGGCGGACAUUGGCCUCCCGUGAGCUUUUGAUUGCGGCUGGCCUAAAAGGGAGUCCUCGGCGACGAGCGCCACGACAAUCGGUGGUUGACAAACCCUCGUGUCCCGUCGUGCGUGCCUUGUCGCUCAUCUCGUGCUCUGUGACCCUAUAGCGUCGCGCUUGCGACUCUUCCACCGCGACCCCAGGUCAGGCGGGACUACCCGCUGAAUUUAAGCAUAUCAAUAAGCGGAGGA